GACGAACGCUGGCGGCGUGCCUAAUACAUGCAAGUGGGACGCAAGGAAACACACUGAGCUUGCACACCGUGUUUUCUUGAGUCGCGAACGGGUGAGUAACGCGUAGGUAACCUGCCUAUUAGCGGGGGAUAACUAUUGGAAACGAUAGCUAAUACCGCAUAAUAUUAAUUAUUGCAUGAUAAUUGAUUGAAAGAUGCAAGCGCAUCACUAGUAGAUGGACCUGCGUUGUAUUAGCUAGUUGGUAAGGUAAGAGCUUACCAAGGCGACGAUACAUAGCCGACCUGAGAGGGUGAUCGGCCACACUGGGACUGAGACACGGCCCAGACUCCUACGGGAGGCAGCAGUAGGGAAUCUUCGGCAAUGGACGAAAGUCUGACCGAGCAACGCCGCGUGAGUGAAGAAGGUUUUCGGAUCGUAAAGCUCUGUUGUAAGUCAAGAACGUGUGUGAGAGUGGAAAGUUCACACAGUGACGGUAGCUUACCAGAAAGGGACGGCUAACUACGUG
rnacentral:rRNA from 1 species